AAUUAGAUAAGCUAAACCUAAGCUAGUGGGUUCAUACCCCAACUAUGAGAAUCUUCUCUCUAAUUA
rnacentral:tRNA from 1 species